rnacentral:lncRNA from 1 species
UUUUUUUUUUUUUUUUUUUAAGCAGGCACCAUACGUAACUACAAAUUGCAGUAAACAGAAUGUGAAAGCAAUCUUGCCGUGUAUUCUGGACUUUUUAUGAUAUAUGGUGGACUGUUCAGAAGUGUAUGCUAUUGUUGAAGCUGUUUGUGCCGGGCGUGCUAAUGCACUGUUUGAUUGAGUGAAUUAGCAGUCAUAACAAUCUGGCAGUCUGGCCAUAGAAGUGUGCUCAAAUUGAUUUGUGUUAUGGCUGGACUGGAAAAUCUAGUGUUAGUUGUUUUUUGCCCUGGGGCAUUGUUUGUACCAAAGUCUACUUUUCAUUUAAUUUUCCAAUAGAUUUUUGAAAUCUAUGUGAUCAACAUUUGCUGCACUUUAUUAUUAUUCUUCAGCUAUUAAAAAUAUCCUAUGAGUUAUUUCAGGUUCCCCAAAACCUUGCUUUCAAUUAGAGUAAACAUAAUUAGCGUGACGUCGUGCUCGGAAUGGUAAAUCUCCCUUUGUAUCUAUUAAGCAUGUUAUCUACUUGUCCUGUCACUGAAAGGAAUCCAGUUUGUAUUUGUAUUGGACAAGGUCUGUGCUAGUUUGACUAUAAAGCAACAAUUAGAAAAACAUCACUGCAGUAUCCAGUUUCUUAUUACUGGUACAACACUUCCCAUCAAUCUCGACAGCAUUCAUGGUGUUUUCAAUGUUUAGUAAAUAUCUUGGUGGAAGGGGAAAGAGGGGAAAAAACCAAAAAAAGCAUCCCAAUUCACAGGCUUACAUUUCUAUGAGUCUUUUUUCCUGAGCGAUGCAGGGGGGAUUUGGUAUGAGGUCCCUCCCUCUUCCUCAGGCUUCCCUCUAAAUAACAGAUAGCUCCUGAAAGGAGGACUGCUGCUUGAGACCCCGGAGAUUAAAAGCAAACCAGAACUUACCUUCUCUUUGCGGGUACUUGCUCCUUUCUUAGAAUCUUCUGCUCAGCAGUAGUUUGCAAGAAUUACCAUGCAGCAUGAUUAAACCUAAACCAUUACUCUAUCGAUCACACAGAAAGGUUUGUGAAAUCCUUUAGUUUCUUCUCUUCAGAAACUGGUGAACAAAAUAGGUCACUAGACAAGGAUAAGACAAAACACAAGACAGAAAUUUCUCAGGAAAAGAAAAUUAAAAGAAAUGCAGGGGAGGGGGGGAGAGGAAGGGGGUAAAUAUCGUGGAUUAACUUAACAGGGUAAUACAUUAUUCAUCCUUACCAGGUGUCUAUCUUCCGCAUGCAUCCCCUCCCCCGGUCCAUUCCUUCACACACGUUCAGAAGAUAAAUACUUUUCUGUUUUUCUGAAUGAAUUUAAACAUUUAAUUAUCAAUAAUAAGUGAUUGGGGUUGGGAAGGGGGAGCUGAGGUACUCUCCUAUGUCCUGUCAGUCAGGUAUUCAGAUUCCUUAAAAUGCAACAGCUACAAUGCAUUUUCUAAUUGCGUUUUACCCUUUACAGCUGCCCUCAAAUUCGUAAUUUAAUAAAACAGUGAACUCCAUAUCAGUCUUUUUUUAGAGCAAUAAAUUACAAU